AUCAAUAAGCGGAGGAAAAGCAACUAACCAGGAUUCCCCCAGUAACGGCGAGCGAAGCGGGAAUAGCUCGAGCAGGCAAUCUCUGGCGUCGAUCGUCAGCGAAUUGUGGCCGGCAGAGGCGGGUGCACCCGAGGCGACUCCGUCGAAGUUGACCUGGAAAGGCACGUCGGAGAGGGUGAUAGCCCCGUGCGGGGCGGAGUCGCCGAGGGCCGCUACCGUCUUCGGAGAGUCGGGUUGUUUGGGAGUGCAGCCCAAAGUGGGUGGUAAACUCCAUCUAAAGCCAAAUAACGGCACGAGACCGAUAGCGAACAAGUACCAUGAGGGAAAGGUGAAAAGCACUUUGGAAAGAGAGUUAAAGAGGCCGCGAAA
rnacentral:rRNA from 1 species